GAUUGAACGCUGGCGGUAUGCUUAACACAUGCAAGUCGAACGGAAACGAUACUAGCUUGCUAGUAGGCGUCGAGUGGCGGACGGGUGAGUAACGCGUAGGAAUCUGCCUGAUAGUGGGGGAUAGCCCGAAGAAAUUCGGAUUAAUACCGCAUAAUCUAUUUGUAGUAAAGUGGGGGACUUUCGAGCCUCACGCUAUCAGAUGAGCCUGCGUAAGAUUAGCUUGUUGGUAGGGUAAAAGCCUACCAAGGCAACGAUCUUUAGCUGGUCUGAGAGGAUGAUCAGCCACAUCGGGACUGAGACACGGCCCGAACUCCUACGGGAGGCAGCAGUGGGGAAUAUUGGACAAUGGGGGCAACCCUGAUCCAGCAAUACCGCGUGUGUGAAGAAGGCCUGAGGGUUGUAAAGCACUUUCAAUUGUGAAGAAAAGUUAACGGUUAAUAACCGUUAGCCUUGACGUUAACUUUAGAAGAAGCACCGGCUAACUCCGUGCCAGCAGCCGCGGUAAUACGGAGGGUGCAAGCGUUAAUCGGAAUUACUGGGCGUAAAGCGUGCGUAGGCGGUUUAUUAAGUCAGAUGUGAAAGCCCCGGGCUUAACCUGGGAACUGCAUUUGAAACUGGUCAACUAGAGUAUGGUAGAGGAAAGUGGAAUUUCUGGUGUAGCGGUGAAAUGCGUAGAUAUCAGAAGGAACAUCAAUGGCGAAGGCAGCUUUCUGGACCAAUACUGACGCUGAGGUACGAAAGCGUGGGUAGCAAACAGGAUUAGAUACCCUGGUAGUCCACGCCGUAAACGAUGAUAACUAGCCGUUGGGGGGAUUUACCCUUUAGUGGCGAAGCUAACGCGUUAAGUUAUCCGCCUGGGGAGUACGGCCGCAAGGUUAAAACUCAAAGGAAUUGACGGGGACCCGCACAAGCGGUGGAGCAUGUGGUUUAAUUCGAUGCAACGCGAAGAACCUUACCUGGUCUUGACAUCCUGCGAACUUUCUAGAAAUAGAUUGGUGCCUUCGGGAACGCAGUGACAGGUGCUGCAUGGCUGUCGUCAGCUCGUGUCGUGAGAUGUUGGGUUAAGUCCCGUAACGAGCGCAACCCCUAUCCUUAUUUGCCAGCACGUCAUGGUGGGAACUAUAAGGAGACUGCCGGUGAUAAACCGGAGGAAGGCGGGGACGACGUCAAGUCAUCAUGGCCCUUACGACCAGGGCUACACACGUGCUACAAUGGGAAGGACAAAGAGCCGCGAAGCCGCGAGGUGUAGCUAAUCUCAGAAAUCUUUUCGUAGUCCGGAUUGGAGUCUGCAACUCGACUCCAUGAAGUCGGAAUCGCUAGUAAUCGUAGAUCAGAAUGCUACGGUGAAUACGUUCCCGGGUCUUGUACACACCGCC
rnacentral:rRNA from 1 species